GAUGAAGAACGUAGCGAAAUGCGAUAAGUAGUGUGAAUUGCAGAAUUCCGUGAAUCAUCGAAUCUUUGAACGCAUAUUGCGCUCUCUGGUAUUCCGGAGAGCAUGCUUGUUUGAGUAUCAGUAAACACCUCAACUCCCUUUUCUUUUUUGAAAUUGGAGCUGGACUUGAGUGAUCCCAACGCUUUCUUCCAAGAAAGUGGCGGGUUGCUUGAAAUGCAGGUGCAGCUGAACUUUUCUCUGAGCUAUAAGCAUAUCUAUUUAGUCUGCCUAAAAAACAGAUUAUUACCUUUGCUGCAGCUAACAUAAAGGAGACUAGUUCUUGUGCUGACUGAUGCAGGAUUCACAGAGACAGCUUCGGCUGACUUUGUAAACUCGAUCUCAAAUCAAGUAAGACUACCCGCUGAACUUAAGCAUAUCAAUAAGCGGAGGA
rnacentral:misc_RNA from 1 species